AAGUCGAGGGGCAGCAUUUCAGUUUGCUUGCAAACUAAAGAUGGCGACCGGCGCACGGGUGAGUAACACGUAUCCAACCUGCCGAUAACUCGGGGAUAGCCUUUCGAAAGAAAGAUUAAUACCGGAUGGCAUAAUUAUUCCGCAUGGGAUGAUUAUUAAAGAAUUUCGGUUGUCGAUGGGGAUGCGUUCCAUUAGGCAGUUGGCGGGGUAACGGCCCACCUAGUCUUCGAUGGAUAGGGGUUCUGAGAGGAAGGUCCCCACAUUGGAACUGAGACACGGUCCAAACUCC
rnacentral:rRNA from 1 species